rnacentral:rRNA from 1 species
GCCUAACACAUGCAAGUCGAGCGGGGUGAUGGUGCUUGCACUAUCACCUAGCGGCGGACGGGUGAGUAAUGCUUAGGAAUCUGCCUAUUAGUGGGGGACAACAUUUCGAAAGGAAUGCUAAUACCGCAUACGUCCUACGGGAGAAAGCAGGGGAUCUUCGGACCUUGCGCUAAUAGAUGAGCCUAAGUCGGAUUAGCUAGUUGGUGGGGUAAAGGCCUACCAAGGCGACGAUCUGUAGCGGGUCUGAGAGGAUGAUCCGCCACACUGGGACUGAGACACGGCCCAGACUCCUACGGGAGGCAGCAGUGGGGAAUAUUGGACAAUGGGCGCAAGCCUGAUCCAGCCAUGCCGCGUGUGUGAAGAAGGCCUUAUGGUUGUAAAGCACUUUAAGCGAGGAGGAGGCUACUUUAGAUAAUACCUAGAGAUAGUGGACGUUACUCGCAGAAUAAGCACCGGCUAACUCUGUGCCAGCAGCCGCGGUAAUACAGAGGGUGCAAGCGUUAAUCGGAUUUACUGGGCGUAAAGCGCGCGUAGGCGGCUAAUUAAGUCAAAUGUGAAAUCCCCGAGCUUAACUUGGGAAUUGCAUUCGAUACUGGUUAGCUAGAGUGUGGGGAGA